rnacentral:rRNA from 1 species
UGAUGGCGACCGGCGCACGGGUGAGUAACGCGUAUCCAACCUACCCAUUACUAGGGAAUAACCCAGCGAAAGUUGGCCUAAUGCCCUAUGUAGUCGUUUGAUCGCCUGAGAUUUCGACGAAAGAUUUAUCGGUAUUGGAUGGGGAUGCGUCUGAUUAGCUUGUUGGCGGGGUAAAGGCCCACCAAGGCAACGAUCAGUAGGGGUUCUGAGAGGAAGGUCCCCCACAUUGUAACUGAGACACGGUCCAAACUCCUACGGGAGGCAGCAGCC